rnacentral:rRNA from 1 species
AGAGCGAACGCUGGCGGCAGGCCUAACACAUGCAAGUCGAACGGACCCUUCGGGGUUAGUGGCGGACGGGUGAGUAACACGUGGGAACGUGCCUUUUGGUUCGGAAUAGCUCCUGGAAACGGGUGGUAAUGCCGAAUGUGCCCUUCGGGGGGAAAGAUUUAUCGCCAUUAGAGCGGCCCGCGUCUGAUUAGCUAGUUGGUGAGGUAAUGGCUCACCAAGGCGACGAUCAGUAGCUGGUCUGAGAGGACGACCAGCCACAUUGGGACUGAGACACGGCCCAAACUCCUACGGGAGGCAGCAGUGGGGAAUCUUGCGCAAUGGGCAAAGCCUGACGCAGCCAUGCCGCGUGAAUGAUGAAGGUCUUAGGAUUGUAAAAUUCUUUCACCGGGACGAUAAUGACGGUACCCGAGAAGAAGCCCCGGCUAACUUCGUGACCAGCAGCCCG